rnacentral:rRNA from 1 species
AGUGAACGCUGGCGGUAGGCCUAACACAUGCAAGUCGAACGGCAGCACAGUAAGAGCUUGCUCUUACGGGUGGCGAGUGGCGGACGGGUGAGGAAUACAUCGGAAUCUACUUUUUCGUGGGGGAUAACGUAGGGAAACUUACGCUAAUACCGCAUACGACCUACGGGUGAAAGCAGGGGAUCUUCGGACCUUGCGCGAUUGAAUGAGCCGAUGUCGGAUUAGCUAGUUGGCGGGGUAAAGGCCCACCAAGGCGACGAUCCGUAGCUGGUCUGAGAGGGUGGUCAGCCACACUGGAACUGAGACACGGUCCAGACUCCUACGGGAGGCAGCAGUGGGGAAUAUUGGACAAUGGGCGCAAGCCUGAUCCAGCCAUACCGCGUGGGUGAAGAAGGCCUUCGGGGUGUAAAGCCCUUUUGUUGGGAAAGAAAAGCAGCAGGUUAAUACCCCGCUGUUCUGACGGUACCCAAAGAAUAAGCACCGGCUAACUUCGUG